AUGGAGUUCCUUAGACAGUUUUUUAUCAGUGAAAAUGUAUGCAUUUAGGUAAAGGACUACAUGGAAGUAAACUCUCCUAAAGAGUUCUGAGACCAAAUUUACCCUUGGUUGAAGAUAACCCUUUUGCAUCAAAGAAUUACAGUGGAUGACAACUGUGAUGCAUAAUCGUCAGCUUUGAAUGGAGCUUUGGACCAUCAAGGACCCUGAUUAAGUUGUGAAAGAAACCAAUGUCUUAAAGUUCAGCACCAUAAGGAAAUUACAGAUUGUGAAUCAAGCCCAUGAGAGACGCACUAACAGAGGGGAAUGAGCCUGUAGCUUAUGAAAACACAAUAAAGGUCUAAAAAUUCCUGUGUGAA